rnacentral:rRNA from 1 species
AGUGAACGCUGGCGGCGUGCUUAACACAUGCAAGUCGAACGAGAACGGGUUAUAGCUUGCUAUAAUUGUCAGCUAAGUGGCGCACGGGUGAGUAAUGUAUAGGUAAUAUGCCUCUUACUAAGGGAUAACAAAUGGAAACGUUUGCUAAUACCUUAUACUCCUUAUUAACUUAAGUUAAUAAGGGAAAGAUUUAUUGGUAAGAGAUUAGCCUGUAUUGUAUCAGUUAGUUGGUGGGGUAAUGGCCUACCAAGACAAUGACGCAUAACUGGUUUGAGAGGAUGAUCAGUCACACUGGAACUGAGACACGGUCCAGACUCCUACGGGAGGCAGCAGUGGGGAAUAUUGCACAAUGGACGAAAGUCUGAUGCAGCAACGCCGCGUGGAGGAUGACACAUUUCGGUGCGUAAACUCCUUUUAUAUAAGAAGAUAAUGACGGUAUUAUAUGAAUAAGCACCGGCUAACUCCGUG